rnacentral:rRNA from 1 species
CCCUUAGAUGUUCUGGGCCGCACGCGCGCUACACUGACGGAGGCAGCGAGCAUGUCCUUCGCCGAGAGGUGUGGGGAAUCUUGUGAGUCUCCGUCGUGCUGGGGAUAGAUGGUUGCAAUUGUCGAUCUUGAACGAGGAAUUCCUAGUAAGCGCGAGUCAUCAGCUCGCGCUGAUUACGUCCCUGCCCUUUGUACACGCCGCCCGUCGCUACUACCGAUUGGAUGGCUUAGCGAGAAUUUUGGAUCGGAGCCCGGGUGGUCGGCAACGGUCGCCCGGGAGAUCUGAGAAAUCAUUCCAGCUUGGUCAUCUAGAGGAAGUAAAAGUCGUAACA